rnacentral:rRNA from 1 species
CCCUUAGAUGUUCUGGGCUGCACGCGUGCUACAAUGGCGUUUCCAGCAAGUCUGCGAACCCGAGAGGGCCAGCGGAUCUUCGAAUUGGCGUCGUGAUCGGGACAGUCGAUUGCAAUUAUUUGACUCAAACGAGGAAUUCCUUGUAAUCGCGAUUCAUCAUAUCGCGCUGAAUACGUCCCUGCCCUUUGUACACACCGCCCGUCGCUCCUACCGAUUGAGCGAUCCGGUAAAUGUUUUGGAUUGGUGCCGGGGCGGCUAGCUGCCGGUCGCUACGAAAUUUUGUGAACCUUAUCGCUUAGGGGAAGGAAAAGUCGUAACA